GUGAAUUCCCCACAUGCGGGAAUCUCACUGCAUAAUUUGUGUAGUGGGGGACUGCGUUCGUGCUCUCCCCUC
rnacentral:snRNA from 1 species